AUGUAUGUGUAUGUAUGUAUGUGUGUGUUUCUGUGUGUGUGUUUGUCUUGUGUGUGUUUGUAUGUAAGUAUGUGUAUGUACUUGUGUGUGUGUGUGUGUGUGUGUGUGGGCGGGCAUGUGUGGCAGCAGGACAUCUUCCCCGUGAAGUUCAAGCUCACGUCAAAAAUGCAUGACCAUGAGAUCAGGCUCUGCCUUCCAGGGUGCAUUUUCCAAUAUUCCUUUGCGAGACCCUGGCAAAGAGGAGAGACCCCGAGAGAGAGCGCUGGUGUCUCCCGACCAACCGACCGGGUCACGCCCCAAAUGUCUGCAUCAGGAACUCCAAUGGAUUCCUGCUUAAAGCAAACCAAAGGCCUUUGUUGCGGUCCCUCUGCAGUGCCCAGGUCCUCUCGCCGCAGCCGCACGGCCUUUACCCCCGACCAGCUGGGGAUGCUGAAAGCUGUUUUAGAAACCAGCCGCUGCCCAGAUUGGAGCCAAAAAGAAGAGUUAUCAUCCGAGCUUCAUCUGGAUGCCUAUGGGAUCAAGACCUGGUUUAAAAAUCAGCGCGCCAAGCAAAGAAAACUGCAGCCAACGGGCCAGCCCCGCCAGCCCAGCGAGUCCACACCUCAGCCUCCUCCUCCUCCUCCUCCUCCUCCUCCUCCUCCGCCGCCGCCGCCGCCGCCGCCGCCGCCAACAGGCUCGGAGCUCAGGGCGCCCGCGCAGGAAGAGCAGGGCCCCGGGGGCUCCCAGGCGCAGGGCCCCGAGGCUGCCGAGGACCCGCUGCCCGCCGAUCUGCACAACAUCCAUCUGGACUCCUCUGCGCCCUGGGCUUCGCUGCCUCAUGACGUCGGGGAGCUCGUGCGCAUGUACGGCUUGUUCCAGGACGACGAGCCCGACGACCUAGCAGAGUACCUGUACCCCCAGGCUUAAAGGAGACUCUGAUUAUGAAUAGGGUGCCCCACACUCGGCCAGUCUGAGCUUGGGCGUGCGUCCUCUAGCAUAAGAAAAUAAAGCUCAGUAAUGGCAAAAAAGGAAAAAGAAA
rnacentral:lncRNA from 1 species